rnacentral:rRNA from 1 species
UACGUAGGGUCCGAGCGUUGUCCGGAAUUACUGGGCGUAAAGAGCUCGUAGGUGGUUUGUCGCGUUGUUCGUGAAAACUCACAGCUCAACUGUGGGCGUGCGGGCGAUACGGGCAGACUUGAGUACUGCAGGGGAGACUGGAAUUCCUGGUGUAGCGGUGGAAUGCGCAGAUAUCAGGAGGAACACCGGUGGCGAAGGCGGUUCUCUGGGCAUUACCUGACGCUGGAGGAGCGAAAGCAUGGGGAGCGAACAGG